ACGCUCGACACCUACAGGAGGCAGCAGGUGAGGAAUAUUGGUCAAGUGGACGCAAGUCUGAACCAGCCAUGCCGCGUGCAGGAUGACGGCUCUAUGAGUUGUAAACUGCUUUUGUACGAGGGUAAACGCAGAUACGUGUAUCUGUCUGAAAGUAUCGUACGAAUAAGGAUCGGCUAACUCCGUGUCAGCAGCCGCGGUAAUCUGAGCGGGCUGGCAAGGC
rnacentral:rRNA from 1 species